GAUGAACGCUCGCGGCAGGCCUAACACAUGCAAGUCGAGGGAGAGGUUACCUUCGGGUCACCAAAACCGGCGCACGGGUGCGUAACGCGUAUACAAUCUGCCUUUCACAUAGGGAUAGCCCGAAGAAAUUUGGAUUAAUACCUAAUGGUAUAUAAGAGCGGCAUCGUUUUUAUAUUAAAGCUACGGUGGUGAAAGAUGAGUAUGCGUUCUAUUAGCUAGUUGGAGAGGUAACGGCUCCCCAAGGCGACGAUAGAUAGGGGUUCUGAGAGGGAUGUCCCCCACACUGGUACUGAGAUACGGACCAGACUCCUACGGGAGGCAGCAGUGAGGAAUAUUGGACAAUGGUCGGAAGACUGAUCCAGCCAUGCCGCGUGCAGGAUGAAGGUCCUAUGGAUUGUAAACUGCUUUUGUAAGGGAAGAAUAAGGAGUACGUGUACUUUGAUGACGGUACCUUACGAAUAAGCAUCGGCUAACUCCGUG
rnacentral:rRNA from 1 species